UCCACAGUAGCUCAGUGGUAGAGCUAUCGGCUGUUAACCGAUCGGUCGUAGGUUAGAGUCCUACCUGUGGAGCCA
rnacentral:tRNA from 1 species